UACAGAGGUCUCGAGCGUUAGGCGGAAUCACUGGGCUUAAAGCGUGUGUAGGUGGAUCGUUAAGUCCCUUGUGAAAUCCCACGGCUUAACCGUGGAACUGCUUGGUAUACUGGCGGUCUUGAGCCAGCUAGGGGCUACCGGAACAAAUGGUGGAGCGGUGAAAUGCGUAGAUAUCCACAGGAACUCCGGUGGCGAAGGCGGCAUGCUGGACCCGAUCUGACGCUGAGGCGCGAAAGCCAGGGGAGCAAACGGG
rnacentral:rRNA from 1 species